UAACACGUGGGUAACCUGCCUUAUCGUGGGGGAUAGCCUUUCGAAAGGAAGAUUAAUACCGCAUAAGAUCGUAGUAUCGCAUGAUAUAGCAAUUAAAGGAGCAAUUCGCUAUAAGAUGGACCCGCGUCGCAUUAGCUAGUUGGUGAGGUAAUGGCUCACCAAGGCGACGAUGCGUAGCCGACCUGAGAGGGUGAUCGGCCACAUUGGGACUGAGACACGGCCCAGACUCCUACGGGAGGCAGCAUG
rnacentral:rRNA from 1 species